AUUGAACGCUGGCGGCAUGCCUUACACAUGCAAGUCGAACGGCAGCACGGGAGCAAUCCUGGUGGCGAGUGGCGAACGGGUGAGUAAUAUAUCGGAACGUGCCCAGUCGUGGGGAUAACGCAGCGAAAGCUGUGCUAAUACCGCAUACGAUCUAUGGAUGAAAGCGGGGGAUCGCAAGACCUCGCGCGAUUGGAGCGGCCGAUAUCAGAUUAGCUAGUUGGUGGGGUAAAGGCCCACCAAGGCGACGAUCUGUAGCUGGUCUGAGAGGACGACCAGCCACACUGGAACUGAGACACGGUCCAGACUCCUACGGAGGCAGCAGUGGGGAAUUUUGGACAAUGGGCGCAAGCCUGAUCCAGCAAUGCCGCGUGCAGGAUGAAGGCCUUCGGUGUAACGUGCUUUGUACGGUACGAAACGGCCUUCGUAAUACAAGGGCUAAGUGACGGUACCGUAACGAAGUAAGAC
rnacentral:rRNA from 1 species